rnacentral:rRNA from 1 species
CCCUUAGAUGUUCUGGGCCACACGCGCGCUACACUGACGAAGUCAGCGAGCAUGUCCUACGCCGACAGGUGCGGGGAAUCUUGUCAAACUUCGUCGUGAUGGGGAUUGAUUAUUGAAAUUCUUGAUCAUCAACGAGGAAUUCCUAGUAAGCGCAAGUCAGCAGCUUGCGUUGAUUACGUCCCUGCCCUUUGUACACACCGCCCGUCGCUACUACCGAUUGAAUGGUUUAGUGAGAUCUUCGGAUUGGCGCCACUGUGGCUCAGCAAUGGGCUCGGUGGAUGCCGAAAAGUUGAUCAAACUUGAUCAUUUAGAGGAAGUAAAAGUCGUAACA